GUGGCAGGCAGUAAAUGCACCUGUGGCAUAACAGGAGGGAGGGUGGUGGCAGGUAGUAGAAGAACCUGGAGAAACUGUUAAGGAAUUAAUCUGUCACCAGAUGUACCUUGGGCUGGUGUCCUUGUGAAUAGAUAUACCCGGGUCAUGGGGGAGAAGACAUGUGCAGAAGGGUUCUCCAGUCAUCUCAUCUUACAAGCCCAAGGAAGAGGCCCCUCUCUCAGCCUCAGGAGGAACCAGAGUUGUCAACAUUCUGACCUGACUUCCAACUUCCAGACCUUUGUGGAGACAAAAAAAAAAAAAAAAAAAAAAGUCUAUCACUGAAGCCUGUGGUGUGUGGCACCAAGUCAUCAUAGCCCUGACAAAUGACCUCGCUCGCUAGAGUGGAGGCUAGGGGACUGGGCGGUUUGGGUCAUUGCUUCCUCUAAAUUCCCAGAACAAGAGAGUGUUGUGGAUACUUAACAUGUGCCUAAAUACAUUUGAUCACUUAUGGGAUAAUAAAGUUAAGGUUGACACCGAG